UACGUAGGGGGCAAGCGUUGUCCGGAUUUACUGGGCGUAAAGAGCGUGUAGGCGGCCAGGCAGGUCUGUUGUGAAAACUGGAGGCUUAACCUCCAGACGUCGACAGAAACCGUCUGGCUAGAGUCCGGAAGAGGAGAGUGGAAUUCCUGGUGUAGCGGUGAAAUGCGCAGAUAUCAGGAAGAACACCAAUGGCGAAGGCAGCUCUCUGGGACGGUACUGACGCUGAGAGACGAAAGCUAGGGGAGCAAAUGGG
rnacentral:rRNA from 1 species